UGUGCAAAAACUGACAUCAGUCGCAAAAAAUAUUAUAUUAUAAUUCAACAUGAAGUUUAUUUGGAUAGUAUUUACAAUAUCCCUAAUCUAUAACACUUCUGAUGCAAUAAAGGAUCCGGCCUGCUUCAGUCAAAUUGUCAUCCCAUAUUUUGGUUGCAAUAGGCGUAAAUUACAGUUUUGGAGUUACGAUACAGUAGAAAGGGUAUGUAAGCCCAACUAUCUAUGCGACGACUUUGGUGGUAACGUAUUCGUCACAGAAACACUGUGUUCUAUUGCAUGCGAAUUUUGAUAAAAUGGUAUAAAAAUAUACAAAAAAAAAAAAACCCAAAAGGUGGUUAGCAAAUUUUAAAAUUAUCAGUAAUAUGGGAUCUACAUUUACCUUUGUCCUUUGCAAAUCUGAAUGUAUAAAAUGAUUUCUUUGUUUCACUUAAACUUUUAAUUUCACACUUUGAUUUCUUUGUUUCACUUAAACUUUCAAUUUCACACUUUAAUUUGUGGAAAGAUUUAAUUAUUAAAUACAAACCAAAACUGAUAUUAGUUUGCUUAAAUUUCUGAUUAAAAAUACCUUGAAUAUAUUAAUAUUUUUCUUAAAUUAUUAUCUUUGAUUAGCAUUCGAUCAACCAAAAAUAUAAUUGUUCUUGAAUACCGGUUCGAGUCCAGUCUUACUAAAAAUGAUGUGACUUUUUAAAUAUAUUUAGAACAAAGUUCUAGCUGGCUAAGGAACAUUCUAAAACUUAAAAGAUUUUCCUAAAGAUUAGAAAGUUUAGGCAAUUCAACGACAUGGUUCAAUUUCACAUAACUCCAGUAAAUGAGAUUUCUCCCCGUUUUUUUUUUUUGUUCAGUACUUGACAUCUCAAUUGCAAUUGCAAUUGCUUCACCUCCCAGGACAUUAUGUCACCCUCUGCUUCAAUGUAUAACUAACUCACCCCUCAAGGUUGCCCACCCUCUUUGCCUUUUGAUAAGUAUUCAGCUAAUUGCUUGCGUGUCAUUAAGCUCUUCCACUUACAAAAAGAAUUAGACAAACAAACAAUAAAUUUAUGGCAAGUGUCGCAUUUUGUCAACAAUUUGACAAAAGCAACUACAACAGGAAUGCUGAGGCGAGAAGUGAAGAGUUUUUCGAACAUUUGCAACCCCCCAACAUGACAAAAAAGAAUACAAAGUAAAAGUGAAAAUCAAAAAACAAAAUUUCACCCCUAAAACUGAACUAAAUUAGCAAUUGAUUGCACAAAGAGAGAGAGAGAGCGAGAGAGGAAAACGAGAGAAUCCAACAAACGACCGCAAUGAGAGCAGUAAUGACAUUAGAUGGUUGGUUGGGAAGAUGCUUAGAAUUUGCUGCGAUUCCUUGAGAACUCCUGUGGUGCCCCCUUGAACUUUUUGCUUCUCGGCUGCACGGACUAUUGAACAGGCGUGCCCUAACGGAAGGCGUUUCUACUUAAUGUCUUGGAUGGAAAACGUUUAAAUUCCAUUGGCGCACUUCCGGUCAACCGGAUGUCGUGUGCGCCAGCGGAAACAUUAAGCGUAAGAGAAAGAGUGAAUUGAGAGAGAAAGAGAGACUCUAGAGUUAGAAUAAAACUUAUAAAUGUAUAUCGAAAAGAAAUCACUUCAUGUCUCUCCCUUUCCCCCAACUUAAUGAUGAUUCAACUGCAUUGAUAUCAUCGGCACGUGCAAAUCCAAUGUCUAAUCAUCAAACGGAACAACGCCUGAAUGAUGCAGUCAUUGUCUUUAGCAUAUGCCAAGGAAGAGCGACUGGAUACUAGUGGGCUAAAAUGAUUAAUGAUUAAUCAAUGAGUUUGCACAGUAGUCCCAAAAGCAUCGCCACUUUCUAUAAAGAGUCAGACGAAUAUACAAAAAAUGUAACGUGUCCAUGAUAUAUAAAGGAAAACAUUAAUUUCAAGAUCUGCAUGAUCGAACACAUUUUAAACCAUCUCACGAAUCACGAAUCGAUAGGAUUUUAUAGGAUACUCAAGUUUGAUCUCCACUUUACGAUGUGUUUUCUCUGGCAAGUCUAUAAAAGAUAUUUAUUUGUUAGGAACUAUAAGCAGAUAAACUGCUACUUGGAUUUCAGAAAUCAAUUGAGAUUUUUUCUUCACAUUUUUAAACGAUCAAAAGAUAAUUCAUCAAACUGAGCAUAAAAAGCUGUCAAGCAAAACUAAUCUAAACAAAUUGAAUAUUCGACACACUUUAUUUUAUAAUUUUACACUUUGAUUUGUCGGAAAGUUUAAAUAUCGAUGAAGUCAAAGAACUGACAUCAGUCUUCAAAAAUAUUCCAUUAUUCAAAAUGAAUUUUAUUUGGUUAUUAAUUGCAAUAUCCCUAAUCUAUGACACUUCUGAUGCGAAACGAAGGAAUCCGUCCUGCGGCCAGCAUCUUGUCAUCCCAUAUAUCGAAUGCGCUAAGAAAGAUGAGUUUUGGAGUUACCAGUCAGGCAAAUGUGUGCCCAUCUAUAUAUGCCGCAUAUUCAAUGGUAACAUAUUCUACACAGAAGAGGAGUGUAAACGCAAAUGCGAUUAAUACAUGUUGUGUAAAAUAUUAGUAAAAUUAAGUUGAUACAGUUUUCAUUAAAUAAACCCAAAUAGGUGAAUUUUGUAUCAUCUUCUCAACA